UGGGGAAUUUUGGACAAUGGGCGAAAGCCUGAUCCAGCCAUGCCGCGUGAGUGAAGAAGGCCUUCGGGUUGUAAAGCUCUUUUAGUCGGAAAGAAAGAGUUGCAAUGAAUAAUUGUGAUUUAUGACGGUACCGACAGAAAAAGCACCGGCUAACUACGUGCCAGCAGCCGCGGUAAUACGUAGGGUGCGAGCGUUAAUCGGAAUUACUGGGCGUAAAGGGUGCGCAGGCGGUCUUGCAAGUCAGAUGUGAAAGCCCCGGGCUUAACCUGGGAAUUGCGUUUGAAACUAUAAGGCUAGAGUGCAGCAGAGGGGAGUGGAAUUCCAUGUGUAGCAGUGAAAUGCGUAGAGAUGUGGAAGAACACCGAUGGCGAAGGCAGCUCCCUGGGUUGACACUGACGCUCAUGCACGAAAGCGUGGGGAGCAAACA
rnacentral:rRNA from 1 species